rnacentral:rRNA from 1 species
UACGGAGGGUGCAAACGUUGCUCGGAAUCAUUGGGCGUAAAGAGCGUGUAGGCGGCCCGAUUAGUCCGCUGUGAAAGUCCAGGGCUCAACCCUGGAAUGCCGGUGGAUACUGUCGGGCUAGAGUCCGGAAGGGGCGAGUGGAAUUCCUGGUGUAGCGGUGAAAUGCGCAGAUAUCAGGAGGAACACCAAUGGCGAAGGCAGCUCGCUGGGACGUGACUGACGCUGAGACGCGAAAGCGUGGGGAGCAAACAGG